UCCCUAGUAGUUCAGUUGGUAAAGAAUCUGCCUGUAAUGCAGGAGACCCGGGUUUGAUCCCUGGGUUGGGAA
rnacentral:tRNA from 1 species